rnacentral:tRNA from 1 species
GCUCGGCUGGUGGAAUUGGUAGACACGCAGGUCUCAGAAGCCUGUGGGGCGACCCGUGGGAGUUCGAGUCUCCCGCCGAGCACCA